rnacentral:rRNA from 1 species
AGCGAACGCUGGCGGCAGGCUUAACACAUGCAAGUCGAGCGGGCAUAGCAAUAUGUCAGCGGCAGACGGGUGAGUAACGCGUGGGAACGUACCUUUUGGUUCGGAACAACUGAGGGAAACUUGUGCUAAUACCGGAUAAGCCCUUACGGGGAAAGAUUUAUCGCCGAAAGAUCGGCCCGCGUCUGAUUAGCUAGUUGGUGAGGUAAUGGCUCACCAAGGCGACGAUCAGUAGCUGGUCUGAGAGGAUGAUCAGCCACAUUGGGACUGAGACACGGCCCAAACUCCUACGGGAGGCAGCAGUGGGGAAUAUUGGACAAUGGGCGCAAGCUUGAUCCAGCCAUGCCGCGUGAGUGAUGAAGGCCCUAGGGUUGUAAAGCUCUUUUGUGCGGGAAGAUAAUGACGGUACCGCAAGAAUAAGCCCCGGCUAACUUCGUGCCAGCAGCCGCGGUAA